rnacentral:rRNA from 1 species
UACGUAGGAGGCGAGCGUUGUCCGGAGUUACUGGGCGUAAAGGGUGCGCAGGCGGCGGUUCGCGUGGCGAGAUGAAAUCUCCUGGCUUACCUGGGAGGAUGGUCGCCAGACGGGAUCGCUUGAGGGUCGGAGAGGGGCGUGGAAUUCCGGGUGGAGUGGUGAAAUGCGUAGAGAUCCGGAGGAACACCGAAGGCGAAGGCAGGUGUCCUGGCGCGUAACUGACGCUGAGGCGCGACAGCGUGGGGAGCAAACAGG